rnacentral:rRNA from 1 species
UCCGAAUGGGGAAACCCAGCAUGAGUUAUGUCAUGUUAUCGAUAUGUGAAUACAUAGCAUAUCAGAAGGCACACCCGGAGAACUGAAACAUCUUAGUACCCGGAGGAAGAGAAAGAAAAUUCGAUUCCCUUAGUAGCGGCGAGCGAAACGGGAAGAGCCCAAACCAACAAGCUUGCUUGUUGGGGUUGUAGGACACUCUAUACGGAGUUACAAAGGACGACAUUAGACGAAUCAUCUGGAAAGAUGAAUCAAAGAAGGUAAUAAUCCUGUAGUCGAAAAUGUUGUCUCUCUUGAGUGGAUCCUGAGUACGACGGAGCACGUGAAAUUCCGU